rnacentral:siRNA from 1 species
CAUGUAUGACGUUUAGGAUGCUG